AUACUUACCUGGCAGAGGAGAUAUUAUGAUCACAAAGGUGGUUUUCCCAGGGCAAAGCUUAUCCAAUGUACUCCAGAUGUGCUGACCCCUGCAAUUUCCCCGAAUGUGGAAAACUCGACUGCAUAAUUUGUGGUAGUGGGGGACUUUAUAGUUGCUUUCCUCUG
ensembl:snRNA U1 U1 spliceosomal RNA